UGCUUUGACCUCAUUCCAGCUGUCAUCUAUAAACUCUACAUGCUAUCAUUUAUUAAAUUAUUGUCUCAUCUGUCAUUUCUUUCGUUAAUAUUUGCUCUAAGUUAUCUUAGGUGUAUGCUUGAUUUAUUUUCUCUCUCAUAUCAGUCAUUUCUUUUUCCCAGUAUAGUUUAUGAUUAGUUUAUUUCUGUCUCUGCUUUGAUUUUUCAGCAUGAAGAUCUGUUAAUUGCUGAAAUAAGUUACACUUCACUAAAUUCUAAAGUAGGUUCAGUUUUGCGUAAUUUCACCAUGAUGUUGCUAUUGCUUUUAAAUGCCUUCUGAUGUCUCCCAUCCAUUUUCUUAUCAAACCUUUUCUGAACUUCCAGCCUUGCCAUGAGGUUAAUUUGACCGGUUGGUUAUAAAGCUUAAGUCCAAGCAACUUGGAAUUAUAUUUGGGUUGUAAAAACUUUCAACUAUGUCACAAAACUUUCAAAUUAUUUUGGAACUAAAAUACUUCCCCUAUCACAAUUAGGAACUUUAUGCAAAAAUCCCUUAAAUUGUCAAUAAUUUUUUAUGUAUUUUGUGGGUCAUAUAUUCAAAAAUCCCUUAAUAUUGUAGCCCCUGUUCUUUGAAGUAUUUGUCACCAUGCAUGAACUUUCGGUUUCCUAAAUGGUGCUCCUAGUUACUCACUGCUAUGCAAAUUGGUGGCAAAAUUGCACGAGAAUCAUUGAUCAUUGCUUAAUUUGAGAAUUGUUUGGAUUAGCUUUUAUUAUUUAUUUUGUUUUUGGUCUUGUUGAAGUGGAGUGCAUUUUUCUUUUAUUUAUAUAUCCUGUUUUUGGUGUAUUUAUUUUUCAUCCAACCAACUUUCUGUUGAACAUUAGCUUUUGUGAUUUAUAAUACAUUUUAAGCUUAAUUUGGAGAUUGUUAAAUAAUUAUUUCAUUUCUACGCGCUUUCAUCAUUCAUUCUAAGGUAUUUCAUGAUUAUAGGUGACUUAACAUUUGAUAAUACAAAAUUGUCAAUAUUUUUUUUAAGAGAAAGGUUGCAAGCUACCCACUUCCUUCAUUUUUUAGAAAUGAAUUCAGCUACAAAUGUAACGCAACUAGGCUACGAACUUAGGACCUCGUGUACUAACCAUAGAAAGGAAUUUAUCAUCAUCUGUAACUCGUUGACCAUAUUAUAUACAAAUCAAGUUUUGAUAUAUAUUUAUAUAUAUAUAUAUAUGUGUCUGUAUGAAUGUAUAACUACUAUUUCUUAUGUUAAAAAUUGUUCAACUUAGUUUUCUUUCUUUCUUUCUUUCUUUUUUUCCUUUCCUAACUCUUCCCUAAUUUUCUAUUUAUCCUUCAAUUUAGUAAACUGUUUUCAAUUGAAAACCGCCAAACAUAAUAAGAAUCUGCUGAAACCAGCUACACGUGGUUUUGAUCAAAGUCGACUUGAAACCUAAACCGAGUUUGAACCAUGGUUUGGGCAAAAUUAAGUCUGAAUCCGAUUGAGUAGGCUUGGGUUUACUAGCCAACUUUGCUGCUGCUAGUUAUAUAUUGGCGCAUUAUUUAUUUAUGUAUGUUUGACCAAGUCACCAAAUAAAACUGACUUUUGAAGACAAUUAAGAAUUUAUUGUAUCGGCCAAGCAGAAAUUCUGCAAAUUUCAGUAGAAAAACUGAGGUUAAUGUUUUUGUGAGACUGUAAAAGUCUGCUAAAGGUUGUUUGCAAAUCAAACAACUCCCUCAGAAAUAGAAUUGGCACUUGCAUGUAUGACCCACUUAUAAUUUCAACUAAAAGUAAUUAAGUAUAAAUUGCCCUACCAGUGAAGGGCCUGCGCUUUGCAGCAGGCUUACAGUGGGUACUGGAUCUUGAUUAAAUUGUAAUGUUGUUUAUGGAUUUUAAUAGAAUCUUAUUCAUCCAAUGUCUGAGUUCUUGACAUCUUAAGUUUUUCAUUGGUACUUGAUGACCAGCUGAUGUUCUUUGCAAAGAAAAAGAAACAUAAUUUGGAUGGUUAAUAUCUGACACAUCUAUUGUACUUUACAUGACCUUCUUUACUGUAACUUUUGUCCAAUAUCAUAAUUGAUUUAUUAGACUCAAAUUUUGAAUAGAAAUAGCUAAUUUAUUAUUGUAUAUGGUUAUUAGUAAAAGUAGGUGCAUGUUUGGACCUAGUCCACCACAUUUGUCAGGAACAAAUCAUAAUUUUCUACCCUUGGGACCUUAGAGUUAAAAUAUAAACCAUUCAAUGUUAUCUGCAACAUUUGACUGAUAUAUACACGAAAAAUCAUAACUUUUGGGAAUCUAUUAGCUAGGCAUCAAGAAGUUCUAAAAGUCAAUAGUGUUCAAGCUACUAUUUUUGGGAAGUUUAUGUUUUUUCACAUGCAAACCUUAAGAUGCUUUAAAUCUCAUAUGAUAUUCUAAAGUUUUUCUUUAAAACCUUUGAUAUAAAAUUGUGGUAGACCAAGCAUUGGUAUUGAGAUUUGGUGGAUUUGGCCCAAGUGCAGGAAUAAUUCCACUCCCAGGGAAGAAGCUGCCGUCCUUGUCUUAUAGGGAGAUAUUGAUGCUUGAUCCUAGUCUGCUGUAUUAGCGAAGAGUCAACAAUGCUUUCAACGUUAGAGGUGUUAAAAUUAUAGAAUAAAUUACCAGAUGUGAUCUACAACACAUAAUAGUCAUUAUAAUAUUAGAAGUGGUCUACAACAUAUAAAUGGUCUAUAUAAUAGAUAUCACAAGUUUAAAAACUAUUAGUUAGACAUUAUGCGGCCUUAAAACUUAAUAUUGUUAAAAGAGCUACUCUGUCAAUGGUCUAAAAUGUUACUUUACAACCUUUAAAUUUGAGUUUUGGUUGAUGGUGUAGCAAGUCCAAGUAAUAAUUUCACUAUUGAAGCAGGAAGUGUCAUCCUAACUGAGAAGGGAGAUAUUAUUGCCCGCAACCAGUGUAUACAUACACUCAAACUCAUUGCAGUUAAUAUUUGAUGAUCAAUGUAUUAAAAAUCAAAAUCUAAUUUGAUAAAUGUGAUCCAUAUUGUUUAAAGAGUCACAUUGUACAAAUUAAAAUGUAUUUUGAAAUUCAUUACUGAAGCAUUAAGUAGUCCCAAAAAUAAAUGGUAGAGAAAGGGUUAUUAUUUGAUUUGUGAUAAAUUGGUGUUCAAAAUUUGUUGUUUUUAGGGGCUGUUUGGUUGCACGCAUUUGCAACUGCAGUGCAGUUGCAAAUGCGUGCAGCCUUAAUUCCUUUGUUUGGUUUAGUGUAGUUGAGUUCAACUGCUGCAAUUCCAACUACACAAGAAGGUCCAAAUGCUGCAGUUGGAACUACAUCCAAAUUGGCCGUAGUUCCAACUGCAGCAGUUGGUGAGGGAUAGGAUCACUCACAAAUUAACAAUAAUAAAUAAAUAAAUAAAUAGCUAAAUAAAUAAAUAAUAUAUGUAUAUAGGUAAAUAAAAAUACUUGUAAAUAAACUCAUACUAAUAAAAUUUUUUAGACAAUACAAGCUUUGUGCAAAAAAUUAAAUUUUUUAAAUUUAUUUUAUUUAAAAUAUAAAUAUAGUUUUUUUAAAAAAAUUUUAUAGAAUGUGAUCGUGUAUGUUAAUUUAAUAAGUUUUAAUUAAUUAUAAUUAUUAAAUUUGAUAGUUAAUUUAAUAGGUUUUAAUUAAUUAUAAUUAUUAAAUAUGAUAAAAAAAAAUGAGAGAAUCGUUUAAAUUUUAAAGUUUGAUUUACAUAUUAAAAUUAAAUAAAUUAAAAAUUUUAACUGUGUCGAUUAAUAAGUUGAAGAAUAUUAUAUAUAUAUACUUAUUUAUUUAUAAAUAGUAAAUUUAAAUGAUUAAUAAACUUAUACAAUUAUUUUAUGUUUAGUGAAGGUAAUCUCACCACUCUUUCUGAAAAUGUGAUAAAAUUCACAAAUACAACUAUCAGCUUCAUAUUACCAAACAGAAGAAAUGUAACUGCAGCAGUUGCAACUGCGUAAAACCAAACAAACUAGGUGUAGUUACAAUAGCAGCAUUUACAACUGCAUGUAUUUCCAACUACACUAUUUCUGCAACUACAUCCAACCAAACAGCCCCUUAGUACACAAGCCUUUUAAAUGGUAGAGAACAUAUCCAAUGAGUUGGAUUCUGAUUUUGAGGCCUCUAUCAUAGAGAAUUAGAGCCAUGGUGUAUAAGAUAUAUGUAUACACCUGGUGCAGGCAAUAAUUUCUCUUGAGAAAGAAAGUGAUAGUUGUGUUGGGUGCGUGGGUUCCGACCCAUCAUUGAAAGCAUGAUGUGUCACUAGGAGGAUGCCUUAACCCAACUUUUGUGUGUACUGUGUAGGAUAUUAACUAUUAUUGGUAGAAGAAUAUUAGUGAAAGAAUUAGGCAAAGAGAAAGAGAGCUAUAAGUACCUUUAUUUUGGAUAGUUUUUAUCUGAAAAAUAGUAGAAGUAAUGGAUAAGAAUAUAAUGAUCAAGGAUAAACAGUACAGAGGAAAAUAAAAUGACAAGGGGUAAACCAAAGAACCAUUUAGAAAACUAUAAAUCGGACAAAGCAGUUUAACUUUUUGACACGUCCUACUCUAAUUGUUCUGAAAUUUGUGCUUAUCAAACAUUUCUUUGUAUAUACUAGAUGGCGGCAAAUGAUGUAGUUUCAGCUUAUUUCUAAUUUUUCUGCUGACUUAGAUAUGAUGGUGAAGCAUAUAAGGAUGCACCAGAAGGUGACAAUUGGCAUAGUUUUCAGCUAUAUUCAAAAUUUUCCAUUUACUGUAAAUUAUAACUAAGAAAUAACUCAGGAAAGUGUUAAUUAUUAAACAUCUACUGCUGGUUUUUAUGCAAUUAAUCUACAAAAAAUAGUAAAAACCAAAUUACAAAAUAUGUCAUAAAUAAACUAGAAACAAUUGAAAUAAUUUUGUGCAUUGUGUGGAUUACUUUCUACUAGGGGAUGUAAAUUUGGAUUUUAAUCAAUAGCAUCUGAAAGUACUAAAAAUAGGAGGGACAAACAGAAACUAUCAAUUCAUCCAAUAUAUAAUAGUUAAUAAAGCAAAUUAUUUUACUCAAUCCGACAGCAAUUUUGUAAAGCAAAUAUUGCAUGUAUACUACAGUCUCAAAUACUCUGUAGUACCAAAUAAAUAUUAGUUUAUUAGAUGUGGCAGUUGCGAAAUUAUAGCUUUAUCUUGUAAUAAAGUAUUUAAAUGUCUGAACUCUCUCUCUCACACACUCUCUCUCUAUACAUAUAUCUAGUCUAGCUGGGAUACUAUUGAUAGUAAAUGAAUAGUAUUUACUAUCAACUUUUUCUAGCCCUUGAAUCAAUACUAUUCCACUUGCCGCCAUUGAACCCUAGGCAUCUAAGGGCUGAAAAGCAAAAUAGUAAACACUAUUUCAUUUACUAUCAAAAGUAUUCUUGCUUCAUUCUAGAAAAACUAGAAUAUAUUGAUAGUAGAGGAAUAGUGUUUGCUUUGUACUUCUUAUCCCUCGAAUGCAUAGGGUUUACUAAUUGGCGGUGAUAUAAUUAUGGAUCCAAGGGCUAAAAAGUUGAUAGUAAACACUGUUCAUCUCCUAUCAAUAGUAUCAUAGCUCAACUCUCUCUCUCUCUCUCUCUCUCUCUCUAUAUAUAUAUAUAUAUAUAUAUAAGAGUAUAGUAGCCCUCCUCUAUAUGAGUCUGGCUACUAUACUCUUAUGAGUACGAUUGCCCUUGUACUCAUAAGUCAUUUUCGAUGAUAGAGCUUCCGAAUCGACGAUCCAUAUUGUUAACAUUAUCUAGAACAUUUAAAACUUCUAGAAAUCAAAUUUUAUAAAUUUUCGAUAUCAUUUACCUUACGAUCAAAAGUUCACAAAAUUGACAAUUUUUAACGGCCAGUAUGGGAUACUUACUAGUUUAACGGUGUAAAAGAAUUGGAAUAGGUUGAAUUUUUAAUAAAAAAUUCUAUUCACUACCUAGAUAAAGAUCAAUAACUCCGAUCUUAAAUUGAAGGAUCCGAUCAUCCAUUUUUACGACGUCGUUCGAUUUUGACCAUUCAUUUUAUGCCCGCUUGAUGGACUUUAUUAUGAUUUCGAAAAAUUACGAAAUUUAUUUUCUAAAAGUUUCAAAUACUCUAGAUCAUAUUUAACGGAGUGGAUCAUUGAUUCGGAAGCUCUAUAAUUGAAAACAACUUAUGAGUACGAAGGCUCCUAUACUCAUAAGAGUAUAGUAGCCCUGCUAUAUAUAUAUAUAUAUAUAUAUAUAUAUA
rnacentral:lncRNA from 1 species